UACGGAGGGGGCUAGCGUUGUUCGGAAUUACUGGGCGUAAAGCGCACGUAGGCGGCUUUGUAAGUUAGAGGUGAAAGCCCGGGGCUCAACCCCGGAAUUGCCUUUAAGACUGCAUCGCUUGAACAUCGGAGAGGUAAGUGGAAUUCCGAGUGUAGAGGUGAAAUUCGUAGAUAUUCGGAAGAACACCAGUGGCGAAGGCGACUUACUGGACGAUUGUUGACGCUGAGGUGCGAAAGCGUGGGGAGCAAACAGG
rnacentral:rRNA from 1 species